UUUCCUUUAGAAAAUAUUUAAAGGUAUUGCCUGCCCUAUGUAAAUAAUAAAUGGCUGCGGUAUCUUAACUGCACUAAGGUAGCAUAAUUAAUUGUCUUUUAAAUGGUGACUUGUUUGAAUGGCUUAAUGAGAAAAAAACUUUCCUCUAAAUUAUAAUAUAAAUUAUAUUUCAAGGUUAAAAUACCUGAUUAUAAAAGAAAGACGAGAAGACCCUGUUGAGUUUUACACAUUUAUCAAAAGUGUUAAAAUGGGAAAUUUAGCCUCAUAUUGAGGCUUUGAUGAUCCUGAACUUUAUUCAAGUUUGGAAAAAGAACUAAAUUACCACAGGGAUAACAGGACAAUAUUUGCUAAGAGUUCUAAUCGAAGCAAAUGGUUGUUACCUCGAUGUUGAAUCGAAGAAUCUUUAUGAUGCAGAAGUCAUAAAAGUAGGUCUGUUCGACCUUUAAUACUUCACGUGAUUUGA
rnacentral:rRNA from 1 species